GUUUGCAAUAUUCACUUCAUCCAAACUCGAGGGAAGCGGAGGCAGAGACUUGAGCUUUUUACAAUGAGACAACAAAAGCUUCUUAAGAACGGACAAUCCCGUCAGACUGGCUGGAAGGCUGCAAAAACUAUUGCGGCUUAAGUUCAAGGUUUCGAGUGAUGACAAACCUCUCGAAAUCAUCAACAAUUUUGCCAGAUAUAUUACAAGCAUAAGCAACCAGAUCAUAUAGCGAAGGACAGAUUUGAGAAAGAAGAUGGGAGUAUAAAAUUGAUCUCUUCUGUGUGUUCCCUCUUUUGAUGCGUCUUUCUCAUUUUUAAAACCAUCAAACUAGAAAGCAUUCCAAAGCUCUCAGGUAGUUCUGUUACUGCAGUAUUCGCCAUUUGCAAUCUGUGCAAGGACUUGAGUUGCCCUAUUGAAGCUGGAAGCUCGCGUAACUGUUUACAUCCGUUCAAGUGCAACACGGUAAGAUUUUCCAACAUCCCUACUGAUUCUGGCAACUCUGUGAUAGUAGCAUCGGUUAUGACUAUAGCAGUUAGUCCCCUCAUGUUUCCGAUUGACUGCGGUAAUGAUCUAAGAAAUCCACAUUUCCUCAUCUCAAGCUUCUCAAGUGUUUUCAAGGCACCGAUUUCAUGUGGGAGAAUUGUGAUUGAUGUCUCAUUUAUUUGUAGCACAACUAGAGAAUUUAAACCUCCAACUGAAUCAGGCAAUUCUCUAAUAAACUCGCCGCGCCCCAUGGAUAACUCCCUCAAGCUUGACAAUGAACCAAUGGACGCAGGCAGUUCUUUGAUAGGACUACCAUAAGUAAGAAAUUCCACUAACGAAUUCAGGUGUCCAAUGGAAUCUGGAAUGGUGGUCAGUGAAUUACACCAGAGCAAACUUAGUCUCUCCAGGUUUGCCAAAGAUCCAAAUGAAUCGGGUAGUUUUUCUAAAGCUGAAUCAUUAAGGGAUAUUUCUUUCAGAGAACACAACUUUCCUAUCAACUCAGGUAGCCCUUUCAAAAAUUUGCAUCGGAUUCAAGCUGAGCUUUUCGAGUUUCGUAAGCUUGAAGAUAGAUUCAGGAAGACUUUCUAUCACUGUCUCGUCAAGGAGAAGUUCUUUCAAUGAUACCAUGCUGUCCAUGUUGCUGGGCAGUUUUUUCAAUUUUGAGCAACCGGUGAGGAUUAGGUUCUCAAGUUUUCUCAGGCCAGAUACAUCACUGGGAAGUUCAAUAAGGUUCGAACAACCUCUCAGGUUCAAGUGGACUAAUGUAUUCAAAUUCCCAACCGAGUCAUGAAGUUUAUUGAGAUUAACACAUAGCUCAAGAACAAUCUUUUCCAAGGCGCAGUUACCAGAUAAAUCAGGUAUAGCAGUUAGAUAAGAGCAUUCGUGUAGAAUCAAGAACAUCAAUUGCUCUGGCACCUGGAAUACAAUCAAAAUCACCCUUUGUAUUACAGAGAAAACUAGCUUAGAAAAUCAUAAAAGUGUAAAGCAGAUACCAAAGAGUAGGAUAGAAAAGGAUAAAGCAGAUGAUUGAUCAAAUAGUGAAGCAUACCUUGUUAUGCCCGCUCCACAAACUUACAAGUUUGCUCUUUGAAAGAUCAAGGACAGCAAGUCGCCGAGGGGAAAAAUCCGAAGGAAGAAAUUUCAAAGGACAACCUUUCCAUUGUAACCACUUCAAUUCAGCUGGAAGAAACUUGAACUUCCCUUCCAAAUUCACAAAAUUAAUUUGGAGAAGUCUAAGAUUGACCAUAGCUCCAAGGGGUUUGGAGCAAAUUACAACCUCUCUCUUUUUCUCUGCUUGAUUUUGAAGAUAAGCUUUGUGCCUUUCCUUUAGGUAUGUUAUUGCAGAGCAAAAACUGGGGCUUUUUCGAAAGUUGUCCCACGAAACUCUCUCACCACUUGGAUCCCGCACUAUCCUUAUCGAUGAUUCGAAGUCUAAGACUAUCCCUUGUAUACAUCUUGUUCCCUGUAUCAUCUAAUCUAGAAAUUGUGUCACAUGAAUAUGUGAACAAUAAAAGUAUCAUAAUGGAUUCUGUACCUUAUCAUCCUUGAAGACAUUCAAGAUUUCAUCACGAUCCCAAAGUCUACUACGCAUGCCAGGAUCUACUACGCUUUCAUGUCUAACGAUUUGUCUUCCCAAGUCUCUAACUUGAUCGUGCAUCCACAGCAUACCGCUUUCAUAAACCUUCAUGAGAGAUUUUGCGGUGAGAUCAGCAAUUGCUAUCUCACCAUCAAAACCACAACCCUUCAGUAUGUCAAUUGCAUCUUCUCUCUUCAUAUUCAUUUUCACAAAUAAACAUGCAAAGUCUAGGAAGAUACACUUCUCUUGCUCGUCUAGAGCAUCAUAACUUAUCUUUAACACAUCCUGAAGAUUGCCGGGACGAAUAUGUUUCAGUUUCUGUAGACCGUCUCUCCAUUCCUCUAUUCUCCUCCGAUAUAAUAGGUAAGAGCCGAAUACUUCAAGAGCCAACGGUAGCCCACCUGUGAGAGACACAAUUUGCUCGGACAGGGCCAGGAAAUCAUCAGGGGGCUUUUCUUUUCGCAAUGCAUGGUAACUAAACAGUUCAAGCGCCUGAGACGAAUCCAACUCCCUGACCUCAUACAACUUGUUCACAAGAUGAUCGGGCAAGACACUUCUAUCUCUUGUGGUAACAAUGAUUCUGCUUCCUUCAUAAAACCAGUCUCUGUUGCCUACUAAAGCACUUAGUUGCUCUACAUUAUCAACAUCAUCCAAAACAAUAAGAAUUCGCUUCACAGUAGAAAGACUACCGAUAAGUCUGUUUUGAAGUGAUACUAACCCCUCGUGUCCUGCAGAAGUUUCUCUAACAUUUGAGAUGAAGCCGCGAUGCUCGAAGUAAGCAACAAGUCUGUUAAAAAGGGCCUUGGCAAGAGUCGUCUUGCCAACACCACCCAUGCCAUGAAUUCCGAGCACUCGAACGCCAUUGGAUCGAACAUCUAACAACCUCAUCGCAUCUUCAACUCGAGAAUCAAGUCCCACUGUGUAGGAAGCAAGACCUACCGGGGUUUUUCUUAUUUCAUUCAAAACCUUUUUGACCAACCCCUGAACCACCUCUGCUUCCUUGCUGUCAAAUUACAUGACCACAACUACAUUAGUUUGCCUCUUGGGGUGAUGAGCACAAAAGAUCACUUUAGCUUUUACACCUCUAAUCUUUUGGAUUAAGAUUUCAAAGACAUGAAGCAAACUAACCAAGAGAGGAAUCAUGUGAUCAAUUGAAAAAAACUAUGACCACCUUAAUUUGAUUAACAUUUUGCUUCAAUCAUACAACAACAACAAACUUUAUCCUACGGAAUGGGCCGCUAUAUUGUUGAAUUGUGGCCAAGUGGCCAUCACCUUUCCUAAUAAACAAACCAAAAGAAAAAAAAGUGAAAGGCAUCAUGAUUAUGUUUGUUGAAAAGAAAAAAGGAAAGUCAUGAUGAUGUUUGUAAAGUAAUCAUUAUGUCUUUACUUUGGUUUUGUUUAUUAGUUAUUUUAGGAUGGAUGAAUGUUAGCAUACGGAAGUGAGAAAGAGAGAGGAAGGAGUGUGCACCAUUUUCUGUUUUAGUAGUCCAUCUUUGAGAGAGCAAAGAGAGCUGCAGAGAGCAGAAAAGAAGAAGAAGGUGCUCUUCUUUUUGGUUAGCAAUCAUCCAUCAUAGUUGUUGUUGUAAUAGCUUUGAGCUAUAUGUAUAGGGAAGAAAUUAUUCAUUAUAUUUCUUCCUCUAUUUGUUUCUUUGGUGUGUGAGAGCUAUUGGGUGUAUUGGGUUAUUUGGGUUGUGAGAUUGCCAACACUUUGUAAACUCCCAUUUGGAUGAUAGUGGAUUAUUGGGUGAGCUCCUACUGCUCCGAGGACGUACUCCAGUUACACUGACUGUGGAGGAACCUCGUUAAAAUCUUUGUGUUAUUUUCUUUAAUAUUUUGUUCUUGCAUUUUCAUUUGAUAUAUUUUCUGUGGGUUAGCUUAAUUUGGUUCCGCGUGGUUUGGUGCUAUCCUAGCACAACAAUUGGUAUCAGAGCACUGGUUGCUCUUGGGUACUGUCUAGUUGCCAAAGAUGUCAGACGGGCAAGAUGAGAAUCCUUUUGGAAGCAGCUCCGGGUUUGCAAGAACUACGGUGCAAAAUGCAAAGUUCGAAGUGGAAAAGUUUGAUGGCACAAACAACUUCGGGAUGUGGCAAUGUGAGGUCAAAGAUGUGUUGGCUCAACAAGAUCUACUUGCCGUUUUGGGAGAGAAGCCGGAAGCUAUGUCGAAGCCGGAAUGGGAAAAAUUAAAUUUGUGGGCUUGCUCUUCAAUUCGGUUGUGCCUUGCAAAAACUCAGAAGUAUUUUGUGAUGCGGGAGACAUUAGCAAGUGUGUUGUGGCAAAAAUUGGAAGACAAGUAUAUGACAAAGAGUGCAGAGAACCGGCUACACUUGAAGAAAAAACUCUACCGCUUCCAAUACAAAGAAGGUACAAAAAUGAUUAGACACCUUGAUGCUUUUAAUAAGUUGAUUGCCGACUUGUUAAAUUUAGAUGAGGAUAUUAAUGAUGAAGAUAAGGCCUUAAUAUUGUUGAAUUCAUUGCCGGACUCUUAUGAGCAUUUUGUUACCACUAUUAUGCAUGGUAAAGAAAUUGUGAAAUUUGAAGAUGUGUCAAAUGCCUUGAUGAAUUAUGAAAUGAGGCAUAGAGAUAAAAAUCAUGAUAGUACCUCUGAAGCUUUAUUUGUUAGAGAUAGAUCAUCGGAGAGAAGAUCAUCUUCUAGUAGGAAAAAAUCACAGUCUCGACCUAGAGGAAACUCUAAAGGUAGAAAACCUUUGGAAAGGGAUGAAUGUGCCUUUUGUCGUAAUAAGGGCCAUUGGAAGAAAGAUUGUCCUAAAUUGAAGACCAAAGGCAAAGAAUGUUCUGAAGCUAAUAUUGCUGAGGUUGAAACAGAUUUUUCUGAUUUUGCUUUAACCACUUCCUCAUCAUUUGAUUGUGCUACUAAGUGGGUGUUGGAUACGGGUUGUACUCAUCAUAUGACUCCUCACAAGGAUUGGUUUUCAAGCUUGAAAGAGUUUGAUGGUGGCGUUGUGUUCAUGGGAGAUGACAAUCCUUGCACAACAAAAGGGAUUGGUACAGUUCGUUUGAAGUUGCAUGAUGGCAUGGUUAAAGAGUUGACAGGUGUUCGAUAUGUACCGAAUUUGAAGAAAAAUCUUAUUUCUUUGGGUACUUUGGAAUCCAAGGGUUUCAGGUUUCAUUCAGAUGGACAAACAUUGAAAGUUACUUAUGGUGCACUUGUUGUGAUGAAAGCUCCUAGAUGUGGCCAUUUGUAUUUAUUGCAGGGAAGCACUGUGACAGGUGAAGCAUCUGUAGUCUCUGAAAAUAUGGGCACAUCUGAUUCAGAUACUACUAGACUGUGGCAUAUGAGAUUAGGCCAUGCCGGUGAGAAAGCUCUACAAGGGCUUGUGAAACAAGGUCUUCUAAAAGGUGCCACGACUUGUAAGCUUGAUUUAUGUGAGCAUUGUGCCUUGGGGAAGCAAACUAGAGUGAAGUUUGGUACUGCUGUACAUCAGACAAAGGGCAUUCUUGAUUAUGUGCAUUCGGAUGUUUGGGGUCCUACAAAGACUCCCUCUUUGAGUGGUAGACAUUGGUUCGUGACUUUUGUUGAUGAUUAUUCAAGAAGGUCUUGGGUCUACACUAUGAAGCACAAGAGUGAGGUGUUAAGCAUUUUCUUGGGUUGGAAGAAAAUGGUUGAGAACCAGACUGGAAGAAAGAUUAAGAUUUUGAGAUCGGAUAAUGGUGGUGAAUACACAUCCGAUCAUUUCUUUAAAGUUUGCAAAGAAGAAGGAAUUGUGAGACAUUUCAGUGUUCGGGGAACUCCACAACAAAAUGGAGUUGUAGAAAGAUUGAAUCGAACCUUGCUUGAAAAUGUUAGAUGUAUGUUGUUUCAGUCGGGUUUAAGCAAGUCAUUUUGGGCAGAGGCAGUUAAUUAUGCAUGUCACAUCAUCAACCGGUUACCCUCAGCUGCUGUUCAGGGUAAGACACCAAUGGAGGUAUGGACUGGAAAACCUUCUUCUGAUUAUGACUAUAUCCGUAUUUUUGGUUCACCUGCUUAUUUUCAUGUGACUGAAAAUAAACUUGAUCCAAGAGCCAAAAAGGCUAUCUUUCUUGGUUUUAGUAGUGGUGUCAAAGUUUACAGGUUGUGGUGCCCAGAGAUGAAAAAACUUGUAAUCAGCAGAGAUGUGACAUUUGAUGAAGAAAGUAUGUUCAAAGACUCUGAGAAGAAUGUGAAAGAUGUCCAACAGGUGGAGCUUGAGAAAGUUGCCUCUGGUACUUCAAAUCCUAUUUCCGCUGAUGUCGAAGCCACUACAAGUGAAGAAGUUGGAGACCAUGAGGAUGUUGAAGAAGUUGAACUUGAAGAUUCUAUUCAAGUUGAAGAGCAAGUUCCACCUCAAAAGUCUAUUGCCAAGAACAGAGGAAAGAGACAAAUUACCAAGCCAGCUCGGUAUAGUGAUUAUGUUGCUUUUGCUCUUCCUAUUAUCACUGAAGAGAUUCCAUCCAAUUUUGAGGAAGCUAUUGAGAGUGAGGAGAAUAAUAGGUGGUGCAAUGCCAUGGGUGAUGAGAUGAAUUCUCUCUUGAAGAACAAGACUUGGGAGUUAGCUAAAUUGCCUAAGGGCAAGAAAGCUAUCGGUUGCAAAUGGGUGUAUGCCAAGAAGGAAGAUGCUAAUGAGAAAAGCAAUGUGAGAUUUAAAGCAAGAUUAGUUGCUAAAGGGUAUGCAUAAAAGGAGGGCAUUGACUACAAUGAAAUAUUUUCUCCAGUUGUGAAGCAUUCCUCAAUUCGUAUUAUGUUAGCUCUUGUUGCACAAUAUGAUCUUGAGCUUGUGCAACUCGAUGUGAAGAUGGCUUUCCUACAUGGUGAUUUGAAUGAAGAGAUUUAUAUGUGUCAACCGGAUGGGUAUAUAGUGAAAGGGAAGGAGAACUUGUUUUGCAAAUUGAAGAAAUCACUAUAUGGCUUGAAGCAAUCUCCAAGGCAAUGGUAUUUGAGAUUUGAUAAAUUUAUGAGAGGCCAAAAUUAUUCUAGAAGUCAAUAUGAUCAUUGUGUGUACUUCAAGAAGUUGCAAGAUGGGUCUUUCAUUUAUUUGUUGAUAUAUGUUGAUGAUAUGUUGAUUGCCUCAAAGAAUGUUGAAGAGCUUGAAAAAUUGAAGAAGCAAAUGAAGAAUGAGUUUGAGAUGAAGGAUCUUGGUGAAGCGAAGAAGAUCCUUGGCAUGGAGAUCACUAGAGAUAGAGAGAAGGGUUUGGUCAGUUUGAAUCAAAGACAAUAUCUUGAAAAGUUGAUUCGGAAAUUGGGAGUUCAUGAUUCAACCAAAUCGGUUAGUACCCCUUUGGCUCCUCAUUUUAAAUUGAGUUCUUUACAGUGUCCUAAAACUGAUAAAGAGAAGCUGCAAAUGAAAAAUAUACCAUAUGCAAAUUUGGUUGGUAGUUUGAUGUAUGCAAUGGUAUGCUUUAGACCAGAUAUUGCUCAUGCAGUUGGCAUGGUGAGUCGAUAUAUGCAUAAUCCAGGUAAAGAGCAUUGGCAAGCAGCUAAGUGGAUAUUGAGGUAUCUCCAUGGUACUCGAGACAUUGGUUUAUGCUUUGAGAGAGAUGACUCUGGUAUUGGUCAUUUUGCAGUUGGUUAUGUUGAUUCAGAUUAUGCAGGUGAUCUGGAUGGAAGGAAAUCUAUUACAGGCUAUGUGUUUACUAUGGCUAAAGGACCAGUUUGUUGGAGGUCCAUUUUGCAGUCAUAUGUUGCCUUGUCUACUACAGAGGCUGAAUAUAUGGCAGUUGCUGAAGCUAUAAAGGAGGCCAUUUGGAUACAUGGGCUGAUUAGAGAUUUGGGGGUUGAUCAGAAGCAGGUGGAGGUACAUUGUGAUAGUCAGAGUGCCAUUUAUUUGGCUAAGUAUCAGGUUCAUCAUGCGAGGACCAAACACAUAGAUGUGCGUUAUCACUUUGUUCGUGAAAUUGUUGGUGAAGGGGAAAUCAUUCUCCAGAAGAUUCCAACUAAAGACAACCCCGCUGAUAUGUUGACUAAGGUUGUUGGUGUAGCCAAGUUUGUUCAUUGCUUGAACUUGGCUCAUAUUUUGCCUAUAAAGAAGGCGUUGAGCAGUAGGAAUUUUUGGAGCAUUUGGCUUGGCAUGAAUUGUUCUCUUGCUAGUGUUUGGGAGUGAUUUUUUGGGUCAAUUGUGUUGGUUGGCUUAUCAUGGCGUUUUCGGAACUUGGCCAAGGUGGAGAUUGUUGAAUUGUGGCCAAGUGGCCAUCACCUUUCCUAAUAAACAAACCAAAAGAAAAAAAAAGUGAAAGGCAUCAUGAUUAUGUUUGUUGAAAAGAAAAAAGGAAAGUCAUGAUGAUGUUUGUAAAGUAAUCAUUAUGUCUUUACUUUGGUUUUGUUUAUUAGUUGUUUUAGGAUGGAUGAAUGUUAGCAUACGGAAGUGAGAAAGAGAAAGGAAGGAGUGUGCACCAUUUUCUGUUUUAGUAGUCCAUCUUUGAGAGAGCAAAGAGAGCUGCAGAGAGCAGAAAACUGAGAGCAGAAAAGAAGAAGAAUGUGCUCUUCUUUUUGGUUAGCAAUCAUCCAUCAUAGUUGUUGUUGUAAUAGCUUUGAGCUAUAUGUAUAGAGAAGAAAUUAUUCAUUAUAUUUCUUCCUCUAUUUGUUUCUUUGGUGUGUGAGAGCUAUUGGGUGUAUUGGGUUAUUUGGGUUGUGAGAUUGCUAACACUUUGUAAACUCCCAUUUGGAUGAUAGUGGAUUAUUGGGUGAGCUCCUACUGCUCCGAGGACGUACUUCAGUUACACUGACUGUGGAGGAACCUCGUUAAAAUCUUGGUGUUAUUUUCUUUAAUAUUUUGUUCUUGCAUUUUCAUUUGAUAUAUUUUCUGUGGGUUAGCUUAAUUUGGUUCCGCGUGGUUUGGUGUUAUCCUAGCACAACAUAUAUGACUCCCAGAACGCCAUUGCACUCAGUUUUGCAUCAUAAUCUUAAUCUUAGAUAUUUGGGAAGAAGAUAUUAUAUAAUCUGAGAUUUGACAAAUCCCCAAAUCCAAAUGCAUGCAGCAGCCAAAACUCAAACCAUAUUAUAUAUGAAUAUGAAUAAACAAAUAGUCAACUAGGCCGUAAUACUAGCUUAUUUAAUUCAUACUUCCAAUAGACUCCAAAAAACCUUAAACAUUAAAUAAUCAAAUUCCUAAUCAUUUCAAUUUCUGCAUGCUGCUGUUAGCUAGCUAGGGUUUUAACAGAUCUUUAACUGAUUGAGUGGGAUUUUAACAGAAAUUAGUUAUGAAUCAAUUUUAGUACUGUUACUGAUUUAAUUACUACCUGGAGGAGUUGCAAACGUAACCGGCUUUGCCGCCGACUUUGGCCAUGGCGCUCCUCCACCUCGAGACGACGGCGUUUCCAUACUGCAGUUCGUGAGCUGAAAAAUGUUCAGAAAACGGGCCCCUCUGUCGACGGACAUCGGAGGGAUCCACUUGGUAGAACACAGGCAGAAUCAGACACCUCCUGCUGCUCUCGCAUAUCUUAGCCAGCUCCUCCAAGCACCACCUCGAAUCGGCGUAUCUCCGCGACAAGACGACGAUUGCGGCCGCCGAGUCGUCGAUCGCUUCCAGCAGGCUCGGGGCGAUGUCGUCCCCGCGGUCCAAACCGUCGUCGUCUAAGAAGACUCGGAAGCCGCGGCUUUUGAGGGCCUCGUACAAGCUCUUCGUGAUUGUUGAGCGGGUGUCUUCUCCUCUGAAACUCCGGAACACGUCCCAGCGUAGCCGGAAGCCACCCGUGGUUGACGAAACGGCGUUGCCGUCGUCGUCUUCUCCCGCCAUUUGCCUUGUUUGCGCGUCUACGCGUUCGACAUUAUGGCCGUUCGUUUAGUUAAGAUGUGAGCACAGUUACUCUGAGCUUACGUAAAUCACCGUUAAAUGGAUCUGUUUGUUUUUCUUUGGGUUGUUUAGAUAUAGCCCCUUCAAACUCCUAUUUCUCAAAUAAAAACCCACCUAAAUUGAAAUAUUCAAAUAAAAUCCAAAUUUCAAAUAGACUGCCAUGUAGACAAAUAUAUGACCAACUAUUACAAUACAUUUACAACUUAUGCCACAAAAUCCUAAUUUGGUCAAUAAAUGUUGUUACUCAUUCUAAUUAUGAUGAGCAAUUAACUCCAUAUGGAUAUUUUACCUUUCUUGUAUCAUAUAUAUUAGCAACAUAUAUAAAUUAAUUUACCAAAUUAAAAAAAAAAAGACAUAUCUUGUGCAGAAAAAAUAAUAUUGUUUGAAUCAUGUAAUUACCUACAUACAAAUUAAUUCACCUACUUAUAAAAUAUUAUACUAAUUUACCUUCAUUUUGAAUCAUGUAAUUACCUAUAUACAAAUAUUAUACUAAUUUACCUACUUAUAAAAUAUUAUAAUAAUUUAUCUACAUUUAAAUUAAUUUACCUACUUAUUAAUAUUAUACUAAUUUACCUACAUUUAAAUUAAUUUACCUAUUCUUAAAAAAAAUUAGUAAUAUUAGAUAAUGUUCGAAUGUUGCGGGUUUGUGCUUGUAGGCAACUAAAUAAACUUUUAAUCUAAUGCACAUAAAUCAUGUAGGUAAAUUGACCAUUUUGGAAGUAAAAUAGACCCUUUAAAUUUUGGUUUGAUGGAAUAGGUAAAUUAGACUAUUUUGUAGGUGAAAAUUGCUCGGAACAUAUAGCUUUUGUUUUGUGUAUUAGGGGUUGGAGUAUUAGCCAAAGCUGUUUUAGGUUUAUUAUUGUGUUAGUAUGUAAAUUAACUUAUAUAUUUAAUGCACAAAAUUAUAAAAUUAGUAUUAUUAUUUUUCAAUCUGCACAUUAUAACAAUUUGAAAGUUAAUACAUUGAAUAUAAAAUGAAUGACAUGAAUUAUUUUGUAAAAUAUAUAAAAUUAAUUAAAUGGAUAUAACAAGUGAUCCAAAAACCCUAUCCAAGUAUUAAUAGGGGUAGUUUAGGCAUUCAAAAAAUACACAAUUUGAAAAGUCAAACUUAAUUAAAAAAUUUGUUUAGUUGGAGGCUAGUCAAUGUGCUUUAUUCAAGAAAACAAAAGGAUAUGGGUUUUUAGUAGAGGAAAAUAUAGUUUCAAGGGUAACGUUAAAUUUUCAGUUUUUCUUUUAAAGACGAUAAUCUAAAUUACAGGAAUAUUUCAAACUUGCGUUGAAGCAUAAAAUUUUCAUUAUAUCAAUAAUACAGUGUUACAUCAUCCGUUAUUAUACAAGUUGUACAAAAUUUUACUUUUGAAAUUGUUAACAUUUUAACAUAAAUAUCUAAUUACUUGUAUAAAAACAUAUAAUGUAUUAUUUCGUAUUUUGAACCCAUAAAAAUAUUCCUCGUGUGAAGGAGCCUGCCUCACUGGUCCCUAGAUGGACAUUAUUGAUGCUAUAUACCAUGCACAUAGAAAGGAAGACUCUUCAACCUUGUCCACGUUACCCAUUACCAAUGAAGGAAGACUUGUUGACCAUGAGCUAAAUCAUUGGUGGAUAAUAAUAGAUUGGAUGGAGAGUUGGUAACUUAGGCCACGUCCAAUGGAGCUAAAAAUUUGAUGGAUUUGUUAAAAAAUUUAUCACUGAAGUCUAAUCGAUGUUUGAGUUAUAAUUAUAUAGGGCCUACCAGGUUAUUAUUUGGUCAAAGAAGCUGCUUAAAUGUAGUUCUUCUUUUAUGUUAUCUCCAACUGAGCCAGUCAUAGGACCAUAGGCCAAAGGAUAACUAUUUGUUACGUAAAACUCAUUUCCAACAGAGGUCUGGGCCAAAAAAUCCAACCAUAUGACCAGGGGCUGGCCAUCUUUAGCCAAUCAGCUAGCCUCUUCAGUUGGGCUUAGCUGGAUUUUUUUUAAGACAAAAUAAAAAUAAAAAUAAAAAAUUCUAAUUUUCGUCCUAUAAAUACCUAAAGCAUUUCUACACUAUUUCUCGUAUCAUUUUCACCAUUUCAUACUAUCUUAUUUCAUUUUAUUUCAAUUAUUCACCUUCUAUUGACAUCAAACACUCUUUUUAUGCACACUCCUCUCUUACCUCUUCCAAUAAACUUUCUUUUAAUUUUUUUAAUAAUUUUCAAAUGGCCACAUCUUCAAGCGCCACUCAAAAUAUGUCAUGAGCUUUAUUCAUUUAGCAACAAGUGACACUCAAAAUAUGUUCAGAACCCUUAUUUUAAUAUGGUAGUUUAUUUCAAUUAACCAAUAAAAUUGAAGAACAAACUUUAAAAAAUAAUAAAUUAUUGAGGGGCUAAAAAAUAGCCAUCUCUGGUUAGAGAUGAGAUAUAAAUAUGGUCUGACAGUGUUUAUUAAAAAAUAAUUUCUUGCAGAACUAUAAUCUGAAUGGAGCUUAACAUAGCCCAUUCGGUUAGAGAUGGCAUUAGCCCCUUUUUAGGGGCCUAUCUCUUUAUUUGGAAUAAUUGAUUCGAAUUCAACGGUAGUUUAAUUAAAUUAAUCAGUAUCGUUGGACUCAAAAUACAACGGCUAGAUUUGAAAAUACCUCUCCUUCUUUUUAAGUGUAAAAUAUAUCGUUAUACUAGAAAAAAACAAGAUGGCAAAGAUAAAAACUUCAACAGAGUGCAAACAGCUAUCAUAAUCCCCUAAAACAAAAGGAGAAAAAGAACUUCCAACAUCUAGUAUGCUGCAUGUAGCUCCACACCUCAGUAACGAUGACGAGAAUAUUUCGAUAUACUUCUAACUAGGGAUGGGCAAUGGUUAUGCGGACGGGUAACCGCGGUUAUUUUACCCAUAACCGUUUAUGUUCAUAUCCGCAUAACCGUUUACCCGUUGGGUAAUUAGAUAAAUGGUUAUACCCAUAACCAUAACCGUUUAUAAACGGUUAUCCAUACCCAUAACCGUUUACCCAUUUACCCAUAACCAUUUACCCAUUUAACCAUAACCAUAACCAUUUACCCGUUUACCCAUUUUUUCGUCCGUUUAUCCUUUUUUUACCCAUUUACCCUUUUUUUUCUCCCGUCUACAUUAUUUUUUUAACAAUUUGAAAAUUACAAAAGAAAAAUUUGUCAUAAUUUUUAUUUUUUGACAAUUAAACACCGUUAUAAGUACAUUUUAGCAUACAUUUCCCUAUUUUAAUCAUUUAAGUCCUCGUAUAAUUCCAAUAAUUGAAAUAAUAGUUUACGAAUGAUAUUUUUCUGUAUAGCUAUUGGGGAAAUAUCCGAGGUCCUUACUUCAUUCUCGCUAACCAAUUAUCGCCUGUAUCGGAAAAAGGAAAUACUUUGAGGCUCCAAAGCACAAACCUAUCAUAAAUGCUGGUUAGAGAUCCCAAAUCCGGCACCAAAACCCUCUCAUCCUUCUUCUCUGCCUCGACGAAAUACGAUAAACAGCCCAAUCUCUGCAAAACACACGAAAUCCAAAACACCCAGUUACAAAAAAUGAACAAAAUUCGAUUUCGAACCACAAAAUGGGAAUCGGAACCCAUUUCUGAAAAAAUCAAAACAAACAUACCCCUUUGCCAAAACCAAAUAUCCCAUGGACCAAAACAAUAGGUGGCAGGCUGCCAUUGGUCGGCGGGUCUCUCUGCGCCACCACAUCCUUCACCUCAAUGCUCAUGUUCCGCUUCGAUUGCAAAUUGCUCAGCGCCUGCGACAGAUCGCCGGCCACGGCGGUGCUGAAGAUGUAAAACCCUUACAGCAAGUGAACCAGGCUGCUCACAAAAAGAGAGCGACGGAGAGAGAGGCGCAAAGAGAGAGCGACGGAGAGAGAGAGUGACGGAGAGAGAGAGCGACGGAAAGAGAGAGCGACGGAGAGAGAGUGACGAAGUCGAAAGGUAGAGAAAGAGAGUGACGGAGUUGUAACUUUGAGGGUUUUUAAUUUUUUUUUUUAAUUUUACAUAUAUUAAAUUAAAUGGGUAAAUGGAUACCUGUUAUAACUAUGAAUAUUAACCAUAACCGAUGGAUACCCGUUAUAACCGCGGAUAAUACCCAUAACCGGUCAUUUAAAUUUCAUGGAUAAACGGUUAUACCCAUAACCGUUUAUUUGUUUAAACGGUUACCCAUAACCAUAACCAUCAACUUUAAAUAGACGGGUAAUCGCGGUUACCUAUACCCAUGGGUAUUUUGCCCAUCCCUACUUCUAACAAAUAAAAAAGUCUACCUUACAAAGAUCAGGAUUAGGCUCAUUCCUCCAACCUCCUCGCAUAAGCUUUAGGAUCAUCAAAGUUAAAUCCCUUCUCAUGCGUUGCAUUGCCUGAAUUGUACCCCUUUAAGGAACAGUGAAAUCACAAUUUCAUUAAGAAGGAAAUUUUCUCAUAUCAUAUAUAUAUAUAUAUAUAUAUAUAUAUAUAUAUAUAAUGUUGGUGUGGAAGUGUAAUUGCUGGAAUUGUUGAGAGGUUAACUGUAAAAUUCAGUUUUACUGUAAGCCCUUGGAUCACAGUCCAAGUGUGUAACUAAGAUGUAAUCUUAGGGCAAGUGAUGGUUUAUGCUUGGUGUCACUGUCUCAUAUGAUAGAGGAAAUGGAUGGUUAGAUUUACAUGAUGUAAUAAAGAGAAUAUUCCAUUCUCUCUAUUCUUUCUAACGGUAUUCAAGUGUCACAAGUGUGUGCGUGAGAAGGAAUGAAUGCAGAAGCACGUUUUCCAUUUUCUUCUUCUUCUCUGCAACUUCCAUUUGAAUUCCAGAAUUUCAUAAUCUCCAAUUCUCAUUGAUUGAUUUUCAUACAUAAGAUAACAAUCUUAUGAAUGUUAACAUGGCUCAAAGAGCCAAGUUCAAUCAAUUGAUACUGGUCAUUUGGAUAUGUGAAGGAACUACCAAGAAACUCGAAAUUGAGCUUGAGUUGUUCUGUGACCUGAGUUUAACAAGGCAGGGUCUAGUAGUAGCGAGUUGAGAACACCGAUCUUCGAUGGCAAUAACUAUGAGUUUUGGAGUACAAGGAUGAAAACCAUUUUCAAGUCUCACGGGUUGUGGGAUCUUGUUGAAAAGGGGUUUGAGAGCUCAGAUUCGAAGAAGGAUGAUGGAUCUAAUGCAAAGAAGAAAGAAAAAUGAAGAAUCAAUGCUGGGAAGAUGACUCUCGCAGAGAGACUUAUGAAGGAUGCUAAAGUUCUGGGUCUAAUUUCAGGGAGCCGUCGCAAAGAGACUUGUAAAUGGCAAGCAUGCCCCCACAUCUUUUACAAAAUUACAAUAUUUACCCCUACAUUAUUAUCUUUGACAAUUAUUAUAUCACAUUAAAUACCAUAUCUUUUUUAGUCAUCUAACAUAUUCACACUAAUUUAUAUGACUUUUUUUUUUUUGUUAAAAACACUUUUACUAAAAAUAAAAAAAUUAAAAAAAAAAUAAAAAAACCAAACAAUUAACAACUUUAUUUUCCAGCUACUUAUUCUUCCGCAACAAUAGAAAUAAUUUUUUUUAAAAAGCACACCAAUAUCAAAAGCGUCUUCUUAAUGGAUCCCACACAUUUAUAUAAAAGUUUUAAAGUUUCACAGAGCAGAAGGAUACCAGACUGUUUUUGAUAAAAGCGAUAAUGGAGGGGAGAAUCAAAUACAGAACCUCGAGCGCAGAAGGAUACUAGACAGUUUAAGUUGAUAGCCACCGCCAUAACCAACUCAAUGACAGAAAGACGAGAGGGAGCACUACCAAGCAAGAAAUGAAGUACCCUCGAUCAUAUAAUGAUAAUCGUCGUUCACUUGUAUUGGUUUCUUGAACUAUUUCUUCAUGUGCACUAGAACUGGAUUCAGGAGUGUGCAGCUGCAGUCACCUUCUUCAAACGAGCCGAAAAACUUGGCCAGUUUUUCUGACAAGGAUUGCUGGCUUUCAUUUAAUGACUCUUCAUCUCCCUCGUAAUCAUCAUCAUCUUCGUAGACCAAACGAAUCCCCCACUUCUUCAGCUCGACGCCUUUCAUCAAUGGCGGAUCUCUCCUCGUCACAUGUAUCUUAUAACCUUCUUUUAACUGAGAAACCAAGGGAUGACACGUCGGGUAUCGGCACAAGUGAAAUUGGUCUUCAUUUGUGUUUGGUACUCCCUGUAAGUUCAAUGCUGAAGUGAAGGUAGGAAAAUCCACUACGAGGAUCUUUGCUAGAAUGUCCACUAUUGCAGGGAGUUCUUCUCUUAUUUCAUCUGGUAUUUGCUGGUUGAGAGAGACUACGACGCCUAUGAUCACGCUUUUGAGAACGCAGUUUUUUCUCUCCGAGAAUGUAACCACAUCUUGAGAAAACCAGUCUGGUAUCUUGCUUCCUGGCAUGCUAAGAUUGCGUAUUUUCCUCAAGUAGCUCUGCAACAAAAAUUUCCAAACCUAUGACUGAGUUAUAAUUUCUAUACGCAUGCAUGCGUGUGUGGGUGUGUGUGUGUGUGUGAGAGAGAGAGAGAGGACCUUAGCAAGUCUUUUCUUAACAACUGAUGAGCAAGCAUUGCAACCACUCGCAUACAACCUCACCAAGGAAUUCAAGCAUUCAAGGCCAGGAAUAUCGACAACUUUAUCACAACUUGUAAGGUUCAGCUCCACCAAGUUUUGCAGGUUUGAAAUAUCAGAGAUACUUUCUAACGAGGUGCAGUUUGCAAUAUUCACUUUAUCCAAACUCGAGGGAAGCGGAGGCAGAGACUUGAGCUUUUUACAAUGAGACAACAAAAGCUUCUUAAGAACGGACAGUCCCCUGAGACUGGCUGGAAGGCUGCAAAAACUAUUGCGGCUUAAGUUCAAGGUUUCGAGUGAUGACAACCUCUCGAAAUCAUCAAAUAUUUUGCCAGCUAUAUUACAAGCAUAAGCAUCCAGAUCAUAUAGCAAGGACAGAUUUGAGAAAGAAGAUGGGAGUAUAAAAUUGAUCUCUUCUGUGUGUUCCCUCUUUUGGUGCUUCUUUCUCAUAUUUAAAACCAUCAAACUAGAAAGCAUUCCAAAGCUCUCGGGUAGUUCUGUUACCGCAGUAUUCGCUAUCUGCAAUCUGUGCAAGGACAUGAGUUGUCCUAUCGAAGCUGGAAGCUUGCGUAACUGUUUACAUCCGUUCAAGCGCAACACGGUAAGAUUUUCCAACAUCCCUACUGAUUCUGGCAACUCUGUGAUAGUAGCAUCGGUUAUGACUAUAGCAGUUAGUCCCCUCAUGCUUUCCGAUUGACUGCGGUAAUGAUCUAAGAAAUCCACAUUUCCUCAUCUCAAGCUUCUCAAGUGUUUUCAAGGCACCGAUUUCAUGUGGGAGAUUUGUGAUUAAUGUCUCAUCUAUUUGUAGCACAACUAGAGAAUUUAAACCUCCAACUGAAUCAGGCAAUACUCUCAUAAACUCGCCGCGCCCCACCGAUAACUCCCUCAAGUUUGACAAUGAACCAAUGGACGCAGGCAGUUCUUUGAUAGGACUACCAUAAGUAAGAAAUUCCACUAACGAAUUCAG
rnacentral:lncRNA from 1 species